CCUACGGGAGGCAGCAGUGAGGGAUAUUGGUCAAUGGGCGAAACCCUGAACCAGCAACGCCGCGUGAGGGAAGACGGUUUUCGGAUUGUAAACCUCUGUUCUCUGUGAAGAUAAUGACGGUAGCAGAGGCGGAAGCUCCGGCUAACUACGUGCCAGCAGCCGCGGUAAUACGGAGGGAGCACGGGUUGUCCGGAUUUACUGGGUGUAAAGGGUGCGUAGGCGGCCCUGCAAGUCAGAAGUGAAAGCCAUGGGCUUAAGCCGUGAACUGCUUUUGAAACUGUAGGGCUUGAGUGAAGUAGAGGCAGGCGGAAUGCCCGGUGUAGCGGUGAAAUGCGUAGAGAUC
rnacentral:rRNA from 1 species